rnacentral:rRNA from 1 species
GGUGAACGCUGGCGGCAGGCCUAACACAUGCAAGUCGAACGGCAGCACAGGGGAGCUUGCUCCCUGGGUGGCGAGUGGCGGACGGGUGAGGAAUACAUCGGAAUCUACCCUGUCGUGGGGGAUAACGUAGGGAAACUUACGCUAAUACCGCAUACGACCUCCGGGUGAAAGCAGGGGAUCGCAAGACCUUGCGCGAUUGAAUGAGCCGAUGUCCGAUUAGCUAGUUGGCGGGGUAAAGGCCCACCAAGGCGACGAUCGGUAGCUGGUCUGAGAGGAUGAUCAGCCACACUGGAACUGAGACACGGUCCAGACUCCUACGGGAGGCAGCAGUGGGGAAUAUUGGACAAUGGGCGAAAGCCUGAUCCAGCCAUGCCGCGUGGGUGAAGAAGGCCUUCGGGUUGUAAAGCCCUUUUGUUGGGAAAGAAAACUUUCCGGUUAAUACCCGGAGAGAAUGACGGUACCCAAAGAAUAAGCACCGGCUAACUUCGUG